CCCUAUGUUUAUUGAACCUCUGUUGCUUCGGCGGACCCGCCUCACGGCCGCCGGAGGACCGCUGCAAGGCGUCCUCUGGCCAGCGUCCGCCGAUGGCCAACCACUUAAACUCUGAAUGAAUCGUGUCAUAUGUCUAAGUCUAUGAUUAAAUUAAAGCAAAACUUUCAACAACGGAUCUCUUGGUUCUGGCAUCGAUGAAGAACGCAGCGAAAUGCGAUAAGUAAUGCGAAUUGCAGAAUUCCAGUGAGUCAUCGAAUCUUUGAACGCACAUUGCGCCCUUUGGUAUUCCGAAGGGCAUGCCUGUUCGAGCGUCAUUAUCACCCCUCAAGCCCCGUGCUUGGUGUUGGACGGCCGGUCGAGCGAUCGACCCCUCCUAAAGACAAUGACGGCGACCUGUGGUUCCCCCGGUACACUGAGCUUUUAACUGAGCACGUAUCGGACAAGGGCACCCGGGACCCGGUCCUCUCCUUUAACUAGGAAACUUCUAAGGU
rnacentral:rRNA from 1 species